UUCCACGCCGUAAACGAUGAUGGCUAACCGCCGGCGACACACUGUCGGUGGCCAAGCGAAAGCGAUAAGCCAUCCACCUGGGGAGUACGUCGGCAACGAUGAAACUCAAAGGAAUUGACGGGGGCCCCGCACAAGCGGAGGAACAUGUGGUUUAAUUCGAUGAUACGCGAGGAACCUUACCCGGGCUCGAACGGCACCUGGAUCGCCCAGAGAUGGGCGAGUCUUCGGACAGGUGUCGAGGUGCUGCAUGGUUGUCGU
rnacentral:rRNA from 1 species